GCAAACUUGGUCAUUUAGAGGAAGUAAAAGUCGUAACAAGGUUUCCGUAGGUGAACCUGCGGAAGGAUCAUUAAAGAUUUCGGCCCUUCUGGGUCCAAAUUACACCUUUGGCUGUGCGCUCUCGCUGCACGCCAGAGGAUAAACCCUUCACACACCUGUGCGCCUCACGGUCGCGUUCCAGGACGCUUCCGCAAUUUUAACAUACAACCACAAGUCUCGAAUGUGACUAUACUAUAUAAUUAACAACUUUCAACAACGGAUCUCUUGGCUCUCGCAUCGAUGAAGAACGCAGC
rnacentral:misc_RNA from 1 species